ensembl:lncRNA
GGCUGGUGACGUCUAUGAUUUUACAUAAUCCACUGCAUCUUUUUGGGUAUUCUCGAAUUUUAUGCCUGGAUGGACAAGUUCAAUUUUUGUGGCAGUACUUUAUUGAUGCCCAUAUGUGUCCAAAUAUUUUCUUUGGCUCUGCCUUCUGCAACAUGCCCCCUUCCACUAUUUGGUCAAAGGCGUUUCCUUCUGGCGCAUUCUCAGAAAGUAGAUGGAUCUUCUCUGAUGUUCCUAGAACCUAUUAGAAGCUCUUGAUAUUAGAAUGGUAUAGUGUUUCCACUGUUGGUAUUUGUGACUGGAUCCUUCCAAUGAGAUAUUUCAUGACCUCUACAGUUUUAUGAUCACUAAGGCCUGUGUUUUUGUGUUGCAGGCUGGAUUCAUGGUCUCAAAUGCACGCUGGUCAUUUGGGAAAAGUAUCAUGUAAUGAUUCCUGAGUUGUUUUUUUUCCUGUGGUGCUGGCCCUAAGGCUAGGUUUCUUGGAUGGUUCCUGACAGUACUUUACACAAUUUAAGGCUUGCAUCCCCACCUUCUUCCUGAUCUAUUAAUUUUUCAAUUAUGUAUGUUCUCAUCAUUGAACUUUGCUCGUUUGUCAGACAGGGUCGCUCAGAACUCGACAUAACUUAGAUUCCAUCAGAUACUCCCAUAUCUACCACAAAUAUCUCCAAGACACUACCUGACAUACCCUUACCUAACUUUAUAAGAAACUGGGGAUAAUUCUACCCUGAUAUAAUUAUACUGAAUUUUCCUAUCUUCUACUGUUCUCACACUUCAUCUGAAUGGUUUUGAGAGAUGUCAAUUUUGAGAUAUUGGUUCUGGGCCCCAAGACUAUUUUUCUUCCAGUUAAGAAUUUUAGAAGAAGUCAGGGAAGCACUUGCCCAGAGGUAUUCUACAUUCUGGGAGAAAGGCAGUUUGCGAGGGAUGCCCUCUAUUUGGACAGGAAUGUAAUUGGAGAUAGACAGUCUAUUUACAAAAAAGAAAGGCAGUUGACAACAGAUUCCAUAUGUACAGGGAGGUAGGCAGUUGGAAAGAGAUGCUCACCGUACAAUAAAAAGGCAUUUGGAGAGAAAUGCCAGUGUACAGAUGAGAUGGCGGUUGGUGUCAAUUUUGGAUAUUCCGCAGCUCUUCUCACAAAUGUCUAGAGUUGACACUUGGAUUGUCGCUAAGUUUGUCUCACUAAUGGAGGCAUCAACCAAGGAGAUGGGAAAAUACCUGUGGAGAGAACUGCCACAUAGUAGAAGACUUACUUCCAAUUUUAGUAGUUAUGUGCCCUCUGUAUUCAGAUAUUCCUAAAUUAACCCAACUAAUACACAUAACCUUCUCUAGAAAUCCUUUCAUGUUCCUGUAGAAUGUUUUCCAUUAGCCAGACACUGGGACCCCUGAAGACCUCAGGGAAUAUACAGGUCUGAUUUUCCUUGCCUAAGUUUAAGGGACUCAAAAUGUAUUGAGUAACUUUCACUGACAAUUCUGACCACUCAUUUCCAAACAUUUGAAUAUAUGAACCGACUCUUUAUGGAACCAUAAUAUAAAAGAUGUUCAUUUUGAACCACAUCCCCCCUAGGCAGGCUGGGGCCUCCCUUACUCCAGCAGAAAUAGGCUUGAGGGGUUACUGGACAAGGCAACAUCUAGUGCUCCUGUUCUCCAUGGGGCCAAGUGGCUUCAUCCUUUAUGGAGCAUGAGCUGAGGCCACAGUAUCUCAGCUCCACGUCUCAGGUUACUGCCUUACCUACUCCACCCCAGUGUACUUUACGUAGCCUUGUUAGAACUGAGAACGGAGAGACACAACAGUAAAGAAUGGCAACUGCAGACCUCAGCCCCUGUGAACAGGGCCCAUUAGGAAUAGAAGGGUAAACUUGGUGGACAGACACAGAUGGCUCAGCAGAGUGUUUACUUUCCUCCUGCCAUUUCGGUCACAGUGAAGAGAAGGUGACUGAGGGAGGACAACAACAGGGAUAUUUCUCAACAACAACAACAACAACAACAACAACAACAACAACGACAACAACAACAACAACAUCAACAACAACAACGACCUCGACAACAACAACAAGUGACUUUGUGAU